rnacentral:rRNA from 1 species
GACGAACGCUGGCGGCGUGCUUAACACAUGCAAGUCGAACGGAAAGGCCCUGCUUUUGUGGGGUGCUCGAGUGGCGAACGGGUGAGUAACACGUGAGUAACCUGCCCUUGACUUUGGGAUAACUUCAGGAAACUGGGGCUAAUACCGGAUAGGAGCUCCUGCUGCAUGGUGGGGGUUGGAAAGUUUCGGCGGUUGGGGAUGGACUCGCGGCUUAUCAGCUUGUUGGUGGGGUAGUGGCUUACCAAGGCUUUGACGGGUAGCCGGCCUGAGAGGGUGACCGGCCACAUUGGGACUGAGAUACGGCCCAGACUCCUACGGGAGGGAGCAGUGGGGAAUAUUGCACAAUGGGCGGAAGCCUGAUGCAGCAACGCCGUGUGCGGGAUGACGGCCUUCGGGUUGUAAACCGCUUUCGCCUGUGACGAAGCGUGAGUGACGGUAAUGGGUAAAGAAGCACCGGCUAACUACGUG